rnacentral:rRNA from 1 species
GGCAUAGGUGGCGAACGUUAUCCGGAAUUAUUGGGCGCAAAGAGUGCGUAGGUGGCUGAGCAAGUCGGGUGUGAAAUCCCCGGGCUUAACUUGGGAAUUGCGCUCGAAACUACUUGGCUCGAGUGUGGCAGAGGAAGGUGGAAUUCCAGGUGUAGCGGUGAAAUGCGUAGAGAUCUGGAGGAACACCGAUGGCGAAGGCAGCCUUCUGGGCCAACACUGACGCUCAUGCACGAAAGCGUGGGGAGCAAACAGG